rnacentral:rRNA from 1 species
UUAAGAGGUUUGGACCUGGCUCAGGAUGAACGCUGGCGGCGUGCUUAACACAUGCAAGUCGAACGAUGAAGCUCCAGCUUGCUGGGGUGGAUUAGUGGCGAACGGGUGAGUAACACGUGAGUAACCUGCCCUUGACUCUGGGAUAAGCCUUGGAAACGGGGUCUAAUACCGGAUAGGAGCAUUCACCGCAUGGUGGGUGUUGGAAAGAAUUUCGGUCUUGGAUGGACUCGCGGCCCAUCAGCUUGUUGGUGAGGUAAUGGCUCACCAAGGCGACGACGGGUAGCCGGCCUGAGAGGGUGACCGGCCACACUGGGACUGAGACACGGCCCAGACUCCUACGGGAGGCAGCAGUGGGGAAUAUUGCACAAUGGGCGCAAGCCUGAUGCAGCGACGCCGCGUGAGGGAUGACGGCCUUCGGGUUGUAAACCUCUUUCAGUAGGGAAGAAGCUUAAUAUGUGACGGUACCUGCAGAAGAAGCACCGGCUAACUACUCAGCGA